rnacentral:lncRNA from 1 species
CCCAGCCUUAUGGCUUUAAUUUACCUAGCAUGACAAAAACAAAUCAUAGCCACAAUUAGGCCUUAUGGCAGUUAACAUAUCAACAAGAAAUUUAGAAUAUCUAUCAUUAUAAUAGUAAACAGCCUUGUAUGGCCAUUCCAGUUUCUCUUCAAAAUUGAAGUGGGAAUGAAAUGAAUAAGGAUCUAAAUUAACUCACCCUUGAUAACUUGAUGAUUGGGUUGGCUUUGUUGCUGAUAAUCUCCUCCCUCUCCAACUGGAAUCACUUUCUCUUCUUCACUAAAUAUGCUUUUGGAGCUCAAAUAAGUGGUGUAACCAUCUGAACUUGGGUGAAACAUUGGGGUUAUAUGGUUCAGUUUUCUAUCUUCAGUCAGUCACCUUCCUGACCACUUAUAAGCUUGGCCCCUAUUCUUCUCCAUCAUUACCCUACCCGGUAUUAGCUUCAAUUCAGCCCCUCUAACUUGCCUCCUAUCAGUCUACUCAUAGCAGUUAGUUGGCCCCUAUAACUACCUGACACCCUUGGUCUUCGCAGUGUACUUGACCCCUAAUAGCCAACCUAUGCACUCUAGGUUCCAACUAACUUGCUAACCACUUGCUAAUUGACUAAACUAGUAAUUAGCUUCUAACUGGCAGCUCAUUUUAACUAACUAAUUGGCUGACUAAUGUUUUAACUAACUGAAUUGCCAAAGCCAUCUAUUGCUAUUUAAAUAACACUAAAACAGCCCCCUUUGCUAUCCCC